GUACGGGAGGCAGCAGUCGAGAGGCUUUGGCAAUGGGGGAAACCCUGACCAAGCGACGCCGCGUGGAGGAUGAAGGCCUUUGGGUUGUAAACUCCUUUUGCUGGGGAAGAAGUGCGGCCAGGUGAACAAUCUGGUCGUUUGACGGUACCCGGCGAAUAAGCUCCGGCUAACUCCGUGCCAGCAGCCGCGGUAACACGGGGGGAGCAAGCGUUGUUCGGAAUCACUGGGCGUAAAGGGCGUGCAGGCGGACAGGUAAGUGGGAUGUGAAAUCCCUCGGCUCACCCGAGGACCUGCAUCCCAAACUGCCUGUCUUGAGUAUGGGAGAGGAUGAGGGAAUUCCUGGUGUAGCGGUGAAAUGCGUAGAUAUCAGGAGGAACACCGGUGGCGAAGGCGCUCAUCUGGCCCAAUACUGACGCUGAGGCGCGAAAGCUAGGGGAGCAAACGGGAUUAGAUACCCCGGU
rnacentral:rRNA from 1 species